GAUCAAGCUACUAAGGGCAAGCGGUGGAUGCCUUGGUGCCAAUAGGCGAUGAAGGACGUAGCAAGUUGCGAUAAGCCACGGGGAGCUGCAAGCAAGCGUUAAUCCGUGGAUUUCCGAAUGGGACAACCCAUCCAUUGUAACAGGUGGAUAUUGUUGGAUGAAUUCAUAGUCCAACAAGGCGAUACGGGGCGAAGUGAAACAUCUCAGUAACCCCAGGAAAAGAAAAUGAAAUGAUUCCGUAAGUAGUGGCGAGCGAAAGCGGAGAAGUCUAAACCGGAGGAACUUGUUUUUCCGGUGUUGAGGGACCUCGAUGUGGCAGGUGGAGAGCGAGCGUAACGAUUUGGAAAAAUCGGCCAUAGACCGUGACAGCCGGGUGCGCGAAGUUUGAAGCCGCCUAGAGGUAUCCCAAGUAAUGCGGUGCACGUGAAACUCUGCAUGAAUCCGUCCCGACCACGGGAUAAGACUAAAUACUAAUUGGAAACCGAUAGUGAACAAGUACCGCGAGGGAAAGGUGAAAAGAACCCCUGCUAGGGGAGUAAAAAGAUCCUGAAACUGCUUGCCUACAAGGUGUAGGAGCUCCGCAAGGAGUGACUGCCUGCCUUUUGCAUAAUGAGUCUGCGAGUUAUUGUCAGUGGCAAGCCUAAGUCCUUAUGGGAUGGAGGCGAAGCGAAAGCGAGUACGAAUAGUGCGCCUAGUUGCUGGCAAUAGACCCGAAGCGGAGGUGAUCUACUUUUGAGCAGGUUGAAACUGUGGUAACACACAGUGGAGGACCGAACUCGUGAAUGUUGAAAAAUUCUGAGAUGACUUGAGAGUAGGAGCGAAAGACUAAUCAAACCCCGUGAUAGCUGGUUCUCUCCGAAAUCGCUUGAGGGCGAGCGUCGAGUAAGUAAACCGUGGAGGUAGAGCACUGGAUGGCUUAGAGUCCACACCAGGAUAUCAAAACCAAUCAAACUCCGAAUACCGUGGAUCCCAUUACUACAGCAUUCAGGCGGCGGGCGAUAAGGUUCGUCGCCGAGAGGGCAACAGCCCAGACCAUCAGCUAAGGUGCCAAAAUACCGUUGAGUGGAAAGGAUGUGACGUUGCAUAGACAGUGAGGAUGUUGGCUUAGAGGCAGCCACCAUUUAAACAGUGCGUAAUAGCUGACUCAUCGAGUGAUUUUGCGCCGAAAAUGAUUGGCGAUAAGCAAUAUACCGAAGCUCUGGAUGCUA
rnacentral:rRNA from 1 species